GACGAACCGUGCAACCGUUAUUCGGAAUCACUGGGCAUAAAGGGCGCGUAGGCGGCUUCAUAAGUCAGGGGUGAAAUCCGGCAGCUUAACUGUCGCAGUGCCUUUGAUACUGUGGAGCUCGAGGGAGGUAGGGGUCUGUGGAACUUCCGGUGGAGCGGUGAAAUGCGUUGAUAUCGGAAGGAACGCCGGUGGCGAAAGCGACGGACUGGAUCUCUUCUGACGCUGAGGCGCGAAAGCCAGGGGAGCAAACGGG
rnacentral:rRNA from 1 species